rnacentral:rRNA from 1 species
UACAGGAGGAGCAAGCGUUAUCCGGAAUGAUUGGGCGUAAAGCGUCUGUAGGUGGUUUAACAAGUCAACUGUCAAAUACGUUGGCUCAACCAACGGCAGGCAGUCGAGAACUGUUGGACUAGAGUGCGGUAGAGGUAGAGGGAAUCCCUAGCGUAACAGUGAAAUGUGUAGAUUUUAGGGAGAACACCAGCGGCGAAGGCGCUCUACUGGGCCGAGACUGACACUGAGAGACGAAAGCUACGGGAGCGAAAAGG